rnacentral:lncRNA from 1 species
CUUGGAUUUGCAGAAGAUUAUAACAAGAUAUUACUCAAAGGAAAGCAUGAACUUAUUCUAUUACGAGAAAUGAAUAAUGAUGGUGUUUUUAAAAGUACUGAUGCUGUUGCUGCAAACAUCUCAAAAUUGAAGAUGACAUUUUCUAGCAUUGUAUGGAAAAUACCUCAUGUACAAUUGUCUGAUGCUUAUAAAUUAUACAUUUUUAAAGUAAUAAACAAGCAAACACCGCUAUUGCUAUCAUUCAGGAGUUGGGAUAUCUAUUAUAAUCCAGUAGUUCCAGAGAGUACUUCAUUUGUAUGGAACUAACUGAUCCGGCGAACUCGCACCGCCUAACAGUCAAUGAAUGUCGUGUUACUUUUAGCUGAACUAAUUUAGGCUUUGAUGAACGUAAAAAAAUGAUACAAAAUAAUAUGUUUAUAUAGAUAGAAACAAAAAAGUACCAACUUGAUAGCGCGUGAUUUCAUCGUUGGUAGUGGAUGUUUGGAUACCAAAAACCGCCAUGUCGCUCCCUUUCGUGACAAAUUUGCAAAAGUAUUUAAUUGACUUGACCGAAUUGCAAUCACGUGGCAUGCGCUCUAAAUCAGUCUUGAACAGCCUGACCAAUGCAUGAUGUUCAUUAGGCAUUUGCUGUAGAUCUUGGAGAAUUGCUCUAUUCGUAGCUGUGUCGAUCCCUUGACGCCUGUCAAGUUGUUCUUCCAUAUUGCCCAUAUUGCAAGAAUUUAUGCUGUGCAUCUUCUAUAGGUUGCAAUGAUCCAAUGCGAUGGUAAUAGGAUUUUAGAUCUUGAAAUGACUUUUAGUGUUUGUCGGAAAUCGCCAGAAAAUAAAAUCAUUGCACCACCAAAACAUCUCGAGUCAUUGCGCAGAUCUUUUAAUGUUCGGUCUAGUGCUUCCAAUGCUCGUUUGUGCGCCAUUGAACAUGCGUCCCAUAUGAUGAUUUUUGAUGCUACUAAAACUUUGGCCAUUGCGUAGUUUUUCGAAAUGUUACAUGUCGGUUGUUCAGUAGUUUGAAGGUUUAAUGGCAAUUUUAACGCUGAGUGAGCCGUGUGGCCGCUAUUCCAGAAGAAGCAAUUGCUACCACAAUUUCAGAUCUCGCACGUACAGUGGCCAAAAUCAAUGACAUGAGGAAUGUCUUCCCAGUUCCACCGGGGGCAUAAAAAAAAAAUAAGCCGCCAUUUCCAUCAUCAAUUGCAUUAAUCAGUGUAUCAUAGACUUCCCUCUGCUUAGGAUUCAACAGAGGUAUAUUCGUUUGAACUGAUUAUGUGGAUCAUAUUCAUGUUUACGUUCCAAUUCUCUAUUAAAUGCGUCAUUUCAUUCCGCGAUCUGGCGCUGGCAUUCCUAACCUAACUAACAAACUGCCGCACAUGAGGUAACACAUAUCUUCGAUCAAGAGCAAAGUCUGGUUCGUAAUCGUAAUUUCUUGAGCUGACGCGAAUUCCAUGUAAAAUAUCUUCAAGUGGGUUCGAUGGGAAGCAUGUUGAAAUGAUGAUAGCAAAUAAUGUGCGUAUCUGACUU